rnacentral:rRNA from 1 species
UCUACGGGCGGCAGCAGUGGGGAAUUGUUCGCAAUGGGCGCAAGCCUGACGACGCAACGCCGCGUGGAGGACGAAGAUCUUCGGGUCGUAAACUCCUUUCGAUCGGGAAGAAUGGCUUCCGGGUGAAUAGCCCGGGAGAGUGACGGUACCGAGAGAAGAAGCCCCGGCUAACUCCGUGCCAGCAGCCGCGGUAAUA